ACCCAGGGCAAAGUUAGAAUCACCCAGUUAUUCAACAGCCAGAGUUUAGUUUGUGCUAUGUUCUAUAGGCCCAUUGCUGGACUUAGGAAAAAUAGUACAGUAUAUAAUACAAUUGCCCAGUAGGUGGGUUAAAAAUAUGCCCCAGAAGCUCACAUUCUUACAGCAGCAUGAAUAGUACUCCAACUCGUGUGAGAACACGUUGGGGGCAGAAGUUGAUAUCCUUGUGUGACUAGAUUAAUGUUUACAGACAACAAAUGCCUGGAAGGCACAGUAACUUUUGGCAAAGUUAUGGAUUCCUUUCCAGUGGAAGUAUGAAAAAUACCUUACCCGACAUGGGCAUCCUGCCACCAUUGGAAGAACCGUGAGAAUCCAGUUUGUUCUCAAAACACUGCCAUGUAGGAGGUCUGAGGAGAGAUGGUUUAUCUCAAUUUUACAGCUCAGCAAAUGAACACAGAGAAGUGAAGGGAGUUUGCUCAAAUAGCUGAACUGGAAUUCAGACCUAAUUCUGAGAUAUGCAAAUUGCCUUUGCCAUGACUAUUGCAUGUGCAUGGCUUCAACUCUGUAUCUCCACCUUUGGAAGUCCUGCCUGCCUUUUAAAAUUCUUGCCAAUAUUAAACUUUCCUCCUGUGCUGGUUUAUACUUUUUGCUUGGCCUUAUGGGUUGCAGAGAUUUCAUCCAGCUUUGCAUCAUUUGGGCGCGAUUUACCCACUGCACUCCUGCUGUGGGGUGAAGAUGGUACAGAUUAUUGGCUGCCUAGAAACAAUUGAUGUUCCCUGGUACUGAACUCCCACCCAGUGAAGUCACCCACUUCUAGAACCUCUUCCCAGAAAACCUCCACCACUCCUUUUCCUUGGCUGGUUCCCCAGAGGCCCAAUUAGGUGUUUUACAUUGAAUAGAACUGAAUAGAGCCAGGAGACUUGGGCUCCAGCUUCUGUUCUGUGAAUGCAGCAUCUGAUUUGGAAAAAUUGUUUCUAGUUUCUGGGCCUUAAUUCUGUAGGUGGGAGUGUGUAGAACUGGUAUUUGGUGAAGUCAUAUCUAUCUUUAAAAUUCUGUGCUUUUUUGUAGUCAGACCAUCAACAUGAAACUGAUAGAACUAUGGGGGACCAGCGGCAGCUGAAAAGAUAAGAAGUAUGAAAUAUAAAUUACCUUUAUUUUGAAAAUGCGGGGAGAGACCCCAACCCCCUGGGGCACAGCAUCUCCCCCCCUGGGGUUCGCGAUCACUCCGUGGAACACGUGGAGUGGAGGCAUACAUGUAGCUUAGGUUUGGGGUGCAGCCUGAGGGGGCAUUAGGGAUGCACAGGUAUCUCACUGACACUAGUUUGGCGCCAGGGACAAAUUCCUAGGGGUGGGGAAGAUAGGGCCACAGAUAAAUUCCUGGGGUGGGGGAGAUGGAGCUCCUUGGCUCUGCCUGAGGCUUUACCAGCUACAGUGUCCUGUCUGGGCCAAAACUCUUUCAUAUCCUGUCUUAUGAUUAUUAUUAAGAAAAGAGGCAGAGAUUUCUUUUUUUACUGCUUCCUGCUGGAAGGGGGUGCUGUACUGGGGUCUAGGGGAGUCGACGGGAUGACAAUUGAUGCCCAUGUAGAAGCUGGUGCCAGGUGUUUUAGCCAGGACAACUCCACUGGUGAAUGCACAUAUAUUAGACUGGAAAAACAAAGAGACAAAUGCUAUGAGGAGACAUGGCACUAUCUGCCUUGUCCUGUUUUGUUUGUUUAAGACAGGGUCUUGCUAUGUAGUUCAGACUGGUCUUGGACUCACUAUGAAGUACAGGCUGGCCUCAAACAAGGUUAUCCUCUUUUUUCAGCCUCCCAAGUGCUGUGAUUAUUAUAUAGAGUGCAGUCCUCAUUAUUUAGAACAGUGCAGCCAGCUACUUCUUGAAAUUACAUUUCUGUAUAUGUAUCCAUUAAUUAUAGCAAGAUAAAAAAUGGAUAUUGAAAACAAAAUUUAUCAUAGACAUGUUUGCCUUCUAGGUAAUGCCACACUCGUCAAUAAAGACAAGAUUGUGAAAGUUGAGUUUUUCUCCCCCAUUCCUUCCAUAGCUAUAAUUAAAGUUUUUAUGAUUCUGUUAUUGGAAUCUCCUGGGUGGCUCACCAAAAUGUUUAGUUUCUUCUAAAAGUGGCUUACCAAUUAAACCUUACCAGGUUCUAGGUUGCUCACCUCUCCUUCUGGAGUUAAGUUCCAGGUUCCUCUCAUCUUGAACAAAGAAAUGAACAAAAUGAGCAAAAGGCAACAGCAAAGUUUAUUUGAAAAAGUAGAAGCGAAGAGUGAGAGAAAAACUGGUGCUGCAGAGGACGCUUGUGCCAAGUAAAAGAGGAAAAAGCAAGAUAAAAGUAAACCGUAGAAAAACCAGGACAGGUUAUCAUGCGGAAAGUCAAGGUACUUUGUCUCAACAAUAAGAGAAAAGGAAUCAAGAAAGAAUUUGGUACCAGUGGAGUGGGGUCAUUGCUGUGACUAUUCCUGACCAUGUGGUUCAAGAGCCUUUGGAAACAGCUUGUGGGAAGAGUUUGUUUUGGGCGCAGGCGCUCAACAUACCAUACCCCACCCGGGACUAAGGACCACGCCAGCUUCCGCAAUGCGCUACGUUCCUCUUUAAAUUAGCCAACCCGUGCGCACUUCGUGCUCACUCUGUACCUCUGUGGCAACUCCUGAUUGGCCACAGCUGGAUAUAGUAGCCAGAGCCUGCAUCCCAUUCCCGCCCUGCUUCCUCGUGGCAGCCUGUGAUUGGUCACGGCCAAAUAUAUAAACCAGAGCCCGCAUAAAUAAACCAGCAGUUAACUGUCGCCCACAA